GUCAUCUAUCUCACACGCAAAGCCCAGCUUUUCCGUCAAAUUGGGUAAAGGGAAAGGAAACCUCGAUCAACAACUCUGUUCCAUGUUACCAACAUACAGAUGGAAACUCCUCCAAGAACAUCACUCCAAACAUUCAAAAGGGAGAAUCCAAACCAGAGGUCAUCGUCCACCCUCCUCUUCUCACCCUUUCUCUCUUUCCUGGGCAUAUCAGUGUGUUUUCAUGCCCAGAAACUCCUAGUUAGGAACCUCCGAUAAAAAAACUUUCUUCAUCAAAGUUGUUCCCCUAUGUCUCUGCUAUUUAGUCUCCAAAUUUCAGCUCCAUCGGAGUCGAUUUGAGACCUAUACACCCCUCGAAGAAGAAGCUGUUCGGAAGCGAGCCUAUUCCGGAUUUCUGCUUGAAUUCCCUCUCUUGCUCUACCCGAAUCCCCCACAUCUUGCUUGAGACUGAUACCAACAAUUGAUUGAGCGAAUUUCUUGGCCAGCAACUGGGCACAAUCCAAUCAACUCUCUCAUCUCCCUUUCCUGUUGAAGCCCUCAAGAAAAACUCACCUUUUUGGUUAGUCUUUGGAUCUUGUGAAGUGGUGGUUACUACAAGGUUGCAUUGAGGCCAAGUGCUGCAAGAGAAAGCUCGAGUUCUAGAUGGACGGUUAUGAUGGAAGUUGUGGAAGAAGAUCAAUUGCCGUGGGAUUGUAAUUACGUGGUGACGAUCACGUGGAAUCGCAAACCGGUUUUUAUCUAUUACUUUUUAUCAAAGCGAUAACUCAUGUUUUUUAAACUUAGAUAUGGGGGCGGGCAUGGGCAAUGACUGGAUGUAGGAGCCUAACCCCUAAUUUAGUUUGUUUUGCAAGCUGUUGUUGUCGAACCUUGGGUACAGAGGAUAAUCCUUGGAGGCCACAAUUUGUUUUUUUUUUAAGUUUAUUUUUAUUUGGCUUGUUCGAUCUCGUUAAA